rnacentral:rRNA from 1 species
UAUUUGCGGCGGCCUACACAUGCAGUCGAGCGGAACGAGUUAUCUGAACCUUCGGGGAACGAUAACGGCGUCGAGCGGCGGACGGGUGAGUAAUGCCUAGGAAAUUGCCCUGAUGUGGGGGAUAACCAUUGGAAACGAUGGCUAAUACCGCAUGAUGCCUACGGGCCAAAGAGGGGGACCUUCGGGCCUCUCGCGUCAGGAUAUGCCUAGGUGGGAUUAGCUAGUUGGUGAGGUAAGGGCUCACCAAGGCGACGAUCCCUAGCUGGUCUGAGAGGAUGAUCAGCCACACUGGAACUGAGACACGGUCCAGACUCCUACGGGAGGCAGCAGUGGGGAAUAUUGCACAAUGGGCGCAAGCCUGAUGCAGCCAUGCCGCGUGUAUGAAGAAGGCCUUCGGGUUGUAAAGUACUUUCAGUCGUGAGGAAGGCGGCGUCGUUAAUAGCGGCGUUGUUUGACGUUAGCGACAGAAGAAGCACCGGCUAACUCCGUGCCAGCAGCCGCGGUAAUACGGAGGGUGCGAGCGUUAAUCGGAAUUACUGGGCGUAAAGCGCAUGCAGGUGGUUUGUUAAGUCAGAUGUGAAAGCCCGGGGCUCAACCUCGGAAUUGCAUUUGAAACUGGCAGACUAGAGUACUGUAGAGGGGGGUAGAAUUUCAGGUGUAGCGGUGAAAUGCGUAGAGAUCUGAAGGAAUACCGGUGGCGAAGGCGGCCCCCUGGACAGAUACUGACACUCAGAUGCGAAAGCGUGGGGAGCAAACAGGAUUAGAUACCCUGGUAGUCCACGCCGUAAACGAUGUCUACUUGGAGGUUGUGGCCUUUGAGCCGUGGCUUUCGGAGCUAACGCGUUAAGUAGACCGCCUGGUGAGUACGGUCGCAGAUUAAAACUCACAUGAAUUGAUGGGGGCUCGCACAAGCGGUGGAGCAUGUGCUGUAAUUUCCGAUGCAACGCGAAGAACCUGUUAUCGUACUUCUUGACAUCAAGAGGAACUUUUCAGAGAUGGACUUGUUGACUUUCGGUACUUCUGAGACAGUGCCUGCCAUUGUAUGUCGUCAGCUCGCGUGUGAAUGUUGGAUUCAGUUCCUGCAACGGGCGUAUCCGUCUAUCCUUGGUUGGCCAGUCGAGUUAAUGGUCCGGUAAACUCCAACGUA